AUAAUUUAGAAUGAAAAGUUCUAUAAGUAGAGGUCUUCCUUAAUGGUUAUACCAAUGGGGUAUCUGGCGUACGAGUAAUAAAAAAAGAGUACAGAUAAACAAUAACAGUUGCGAAUAUUUCAGAAUUCAGAUACUCAACAAACUUGGCCUCUCCAAACAAAUUCAACUCCUCAACCAAAAUACCACCCUUUCUAAUUAGCUAUCUAAUUUAACUGAUACUGUUCACUCCUUUUCUGAUUUAGGAUCAUCGUUGACUACCCACAGAGUGUCCCCAUUCCGACAAUGUAAGACUAAUCUCCGCUCGUCCAAGGACCAAGUAAAGGCUUACUUACCAACACAUUUUUUAACUCUACGAGAAUCGAACCUGUGAGCUCGAACUCCCGAGUUCUAGGACAGGUUACUCUUUAAUUGGUUGACUGGGCCUCUUUAAUUGAGGUUUUGAUGACAAUACUACACUGAUUUACACAGUAACUAACUAAGUAACUAAGUAACUAACUAACAUAAACAACCUAUGUAGUUAUAAAUAAAACAGCAACCUGAAAUGAAAAGCAAUAUAACUAGGUAACUAUAUGAACAUCAAUUAUUAGACAUGCAACAAAAUUACAUUGAAAGAAGUGUGUGUAAAAUAAUAUGAAAGUAGAAGAAGAAAAAGAGAAAAAGCUUACCUCCAUAUUGAGAGCAAGACGAACACCUUGAAUUUCUUUACGGAAUUUAAGAAAUAAUUCAGAAGGCAUGAAAUUGAAGUUAUAUAAUUCAUCCCACGAACUUGCAGGUUCCUCCACGUUCGACACCGAAUCCAUUAUUAUCACUCCUGA
rnacentral:lncRNA from 1 species